rnacentral:rRNA from 1 species
UACAGAGGGUGCGAGCGUUGUUCGGAAUUAUUGGGCGUAAAGAGCGUGUAGGCGGCUGGGUAGGUCCGUUGUGAAAACUCGAGGCUCAACCUCGAGACGCCGAUGGAAACCCUCCAGCUAGAGUCCGGAAGAGGAGAGUGGAAUUCCUGGUGUAGCGGUGAAAUGCGCAGAUAUCAGGAAGAACACCCGUGGCUAAGGCGGCUCUCUAGUACGGUACUGACGCUGAGACGCGAAAGCGUGGGGAGCGAACAGG